rnacentral:rRNA from 1 species
CUUCUGAACGUUGACCUCGAAUCAGGUAGGACUACCCGCUGAACUUAA